UGAUGCAGCGACGCCGCGUGAGCGAUGAAGCCGUUCGGGGUGUAAGCUCUUCGUCGGGGACGAUAAUGACGGUACCCGGAGAAGAAGCUGCGGCUAACUACGUGCCAGCAGCCGCGGUAAUACGUAGGCAGCGAGCGUGUUCGGAAUUACUGGGCGUAAAGAGUGCGUAGGCGGUUGGCUAAGUUUGGUGUGAAAUCUCCCGGCUUAACUGGGAGGGUGCGCCGAAAACUGGCCGGCUAGAGUGUGGGAGAGGGAAGUGGAAUUCCUGGUGUAGCGGUGAAAUGCGUAGAUAUCAGGAGGAACACCUGCGGUGUAGACGGCUUCCUGGACCAUUACUGACGCUGAGGCACGAAAGCGUGGGGAGCAAACAGGAUUAGAUACCCUGGUAGUCCACGCCCUAAACGAUGCGGACUUGGUGUUCGCCCUUCAUUGGGUGAGUGCCGUAGCUAACGCGUUAAGUCCGCCGCCUGGGGAGUACGGUCGCAAGGCUG
rnacentral:rRNA from 1 species